rnacentral:rRNA from 1 species
UUUUUAUGGAGAGUUUGAUCCUGGCUCAGGACGAACGCUGGCGGCGUGCUUAACACAUGCAAGUCGAACGGAAAGGCCUAGCUUGCUAGGUACUCGAGUGGCGAACGGGUGAGUAACACGUGGGUGAUCUGCCUCGUACUUCGGGAUAAGCCUGGGAAACUGGGUCUAAUACUGGAUAGGACCAUGCUUUAGUGUGUGUGGUGGAAAGUUUUUUCGGUACGAGAUGAGCCCGCGGCCUAUCAGCUUGUUGGUGGGGUAAUGGCCUACCAAGGCGUCGACGGGUAGCCGGCCUGAGAGGGUGGACGGCCACAUUGGGACUGAGAUACGGCCCAGACUCCUACGGGAGGCAGCAGUGGGGAAUAUUGCACAAUGGGCGCAAGCCUGAUGCAGCGACGCCGCGUGGGGGAUGACGGCCUUCGGGUUGUAAACCUCUUUCGCUAGGGACGAAGCUUUUUGUGACGGUACCUAGAUAAGAAGCACCGGCUAACUACGUGCCAGCAGCCGCGGUAAUACGUAGGGUGCGAGCGUUGUCCGGAAUUAUUGGGCGUAAAGAGCUCGUAGGUGGUUUGUCGCGUCGUCUGUGAAAUUCCGGGGCUUAACUUCGGGCGUGCAGGCGAUACGGGCAUAACUUGAGUGCUGUAGGGGAGACUGGAAUUCCUGGUGUAGCGGUGGAAUGCGCAGAUAUCAGGAGGAACACCGAUGGCGAAGGCAGGUCUCUGGGCAGUAACUGACGCUGAGGAGCGAAAGCAUGGGGAGCGAACAGGAUUAGAUACCCUGGUAGUCCAUGCCGUAAACGGUGGGCGCUAGGUGUGAGGGUCUUCCACGACUUUCGUGCCGUAGCUAACGCAUUAAGCGCCCCGCCUGGGGAGUACGGCCGCAAGGCUAAAACUCAAAGGAAUUGACGGGGGCCCGCACAAGCGGCGGAGCAUGUGGAUUAAUUCGAUGCAACGCGAAGAACCUUACCUGGGCUUGACAUAUGCAGGAUCGGCGUAGUGAUACGUUUUCCCUUGUGGUCUGUAUACAGGUGGUGCAUGGUUGUCGUCAGCUCGUGUCGUGAGAUGUUGGGUUAAGUCCCGCAACGAGCGCAACCCUUGUCUUAUGUUGCCAGCACGUGAUGGUGGGGACUCAUGAGAGACUGCCGGGGUUAACUCGGAGGAAGGUGGGGAUGACGUCAAAUCAUCAUGCCCCUUAUGUCCAGGGCUUCACACAUGCUACAAUGGUCGGUACAACGCGCUGCGAGCCUGUGAGGGUGAGCGAAUCGCUGAAAGCCGGCCUCAGUUCGGAUUGGGGUCUGCAACUCGACCCCAUGAAGUCGGAGUCGCUAGUAAUCGCAGAUCAGCAACGCUGCGGUGAAUACGUUCCCGGGCCUUGUACACACCGCCCGUCACGUCAUGAAAGUUGGUAACACCCGAAGCCAGUGGCCUAACCCUUGUGGGGGGAGCUGUCGAAGGUGGGAUCGGCGAUUGGGACGAAGUCGUAACAAGGUAGCCGUACCGGAAGGUGCGGCUGGAUCACCUCCUUUCU